UUUUCAUAUUCCAAAUAGCGGAGGAAAAGAAACUAACAAGGAUUCCCCUAGUAGCGGCGAGCGAAGCGGGAAGAGCUCAAAUUUAUAAUCUGGCACCUUCGGUGUCCGAGUUGUAAUCUCUAGAAGUGUUUUCCGCGUUGGACCGCACACAAGUCUGUUGGAAUACAGCGGCAUAGUGGUGAAACCCCCGUAUAUGGUGCGGACGCCCAGCGCUUUGUGAUACACUUUCAAUGAGUCGAGUUGUUUGGGAAUGCAGCUCAAAUUGGGUGGUAAAUUCCAUCUAAAGCUAAAUAUUGGCGAGAGACCGAUAGCGAACAAGUACCGUGAGGGAAAGAUGAAAAGCACUUUGGAAAGAGAGUUAACAGUACGUGAAAUUGUUGGAAGGGAAACGCUUGAAGUCAGACUUGCUUGCCGGAGCUUGCUUCGGUUUGCAGGCCAGCAUCAGUUUUCCGGGGUGGAUAAUGACGGUUUGAAGGUAGCAGUCUCGGCUGUGUUAUAGCUUUCCGUUGGAUACAUCCUGGGGGACUGAGGAACGCAGCGUGCUUUUUGCGAAAGACUCGUCUUUUUCACGCUUAGGAUGCUGGUGGAAUGGCUUUAAACGACCCGUCUUAAACCCCCGGA
rnacentral:rRNA from 1 species